rnacentral:rRNA from 1 species
UACGAAGGGGGCUAGCGUUGCUCGGAAUUACUGGGCGUAAAGCGUACGUAGGCGGCUUUCUAAGUCGGGGGUGAAAUCCUGGAGCUCAACUCCAGAACUGCCUUCGAUACUGUUAGGCUUGAGACCGGAAGAGGUGAGUGGAACUGCGAGUGUAGAGGUGAAAUUCGUAGAUAUUCGCAAGAACACCAGUGGCGAAGGCGGCUCACUGGUCCGGUUCUGACGCUGAGGCGCGAAAGCGUGGGGAGCAAACAGG